AAUAUUUGACAAUGGGCGAAAGCCUGAUCCAGCCAUGCCGCGUGUUUGAAGAAGGUCUUCGUAUUGUAAAGCACUGUAAGUUGGGAGGAAGGGCAGUAAGUUAAUACCUUGCUGUUUUGACGUUACCGACAGAAUAAGCACAGGCUAACUUCGUUCCACCAGCCGCGGUAAUACGAAGGGUGCAAGCGUUAAUCGGAAUUACUGGGCGUAAAGCGCGCGUAGGUGGUUUGUUAAGUUGGAAGUGAAAGCCCCGGGCUCAACCUGGGAACUGCUUUCAUAACUGCCGAGCUAGAGUACGGUAGAGGGUAGUGGAAUUUCCUGUGUAGCGGUGAAAUGCGUAGAUAUAGGAAGGAACACCAGUGGCGAAGGCGACUACCUGGGCUAAUACUGACACUGAGGUGCGAAAGCGUGGGGAGCAAAC
rnacentral:rRNA from 1 species